UACGUAGGUGGCAAGCGUUGUCCGGAAUUAUUGGGCGUAAAGCGCGCGCAGGCGGUUCCUUAAGUCUGAUGUGAAAGCCCACGGCUCACCCGUGGAGGGUCAUUGGAAACUGGGGGUCUUGAGUGCAGAAGAGGAGAGCGGAAUUCCACGUGUAGCGGUGAAAUGCGUAGAGAUGUGGAGGAACACCAGUGGCGAAGGCGGCUCUCUGGUCUGUAACUGACGCUGAGGCGCGAUAGCGUGAGGAGCAAACAGG
rnacentral:rRNA from 1 species